UUCGAUAUGGGGUAGUGGUUAACCUAGCGGAUUUUCAGUUUCUCUUCAAAAGAGUCUGUAUACUCCGCGGCCCCGGGUUCGAUUCCCGGUAUCGAAG
rnacentral:tRNA from 1 species